rnacentral:rRNA from 1 species
GGAUAACGUUUGGAAACGAACGCUAAUACCGCAUAAAAUAUCGGAGUCGCAUGGCACUGAUAUCAAAGGAGUAAUCCGCUGAAAGAUGGGCUCGCGUCCGAUUAGGCAGUUGGCGGGGUAACGGCCCACCAAACCGACAAUCGGUAGCCGGACUGAGAGGUUGAACGGCCACAUUGGGACUGAGACACGGCCCAGACUCCUACGGGAGGCAGCAGUGGGGGAUAUUGCACAAUGGGGGAAACCCUGAUGCAGCGAUGCCGCGUGAAUGAAGACGGCCUUCGGGUUGUAAAGUUCUGUCGCAGGGGACGAAAAUGACGGUACCCUGCAAGAAAGCUCCGGCUAACUACGUGCCAGCAGCCGCGGUAAUACGUAGGGAGCAAGCGUUGUCCGGAAUUACUGGGUGUAAAGGGAGCGUAGGCGGGAGGAUAAGUUGAAUGUGAAAUCUAUGGGCUCAACCCAUAGCUGCGUUCAAAACUGUUCUUCUUGAGUGAAGUAGAGGCAGGCGGAAUUCCUAGUGUAGCGGUGAAAUGCGUAGAUAUUAGGAGGAACACCAGUGGCGAAGGCGGCCUGCUGGGCUUUUACUGACGCUGAGGCUCGAAAGCGUGGGUAGCAAACAGGAUUAGAUACCCUGGUAGUCCACGCGGUAAACGAUGAUUACUAGGUGUGGGUGGACUGACCCCAUCCGU